UACGAAGGGGGCUAGCGUUGUUCGGAAUUACUGGGCGUAAAGCGCGCGCAGGCGGCCAUUCAAGUCAGGGGUGAAAGCCCAGAGCUCAACUCUGGAACUGCCCUUGAAACUGUAUGGCUUGAGUAUGAGAGAGGUGAGUGGAAUUCCCAGUGUAGAGGUGAAAUUCGUAGAUAUUGGGAAGAACACCGGUGGCGAAAGCGGCGCACUGGACCAUAACUGACGCUGAUGCGCGAAAGCUAGGGGAGCAAACAGG
rnacentral:rRNA from 1 species